rnacentral:rRNA from 1 species
AUUGAACGCUGGCGGAAUGCUUUACACAUGCAAGUCGAACGGCAGCACGGACUUCGGUCUGGUGGCGAGUGGCGAACGGGUGAGUAAUGUAUCGGAACGUGCCCAGUCGUGGGGGAUAACGUAGUGAAAAUUACGCUAAUACCGCAUACGAUCUAUGGAUGAAAGCGGGGGAUCGCAAGACCUCGCGCGAUUGGAGCGGCCGAGAUCAGAUUAGGUAGUUGGUGGGGUAAAGGCCCACCAAGCCAACGAUCUGUAGCUGGUCUGAGAGGACGACCAGCCACAAUGGAACGGAGACACGGUCCAGACUCCUACGGGAGGCAGCAGUGGGGAAUUUUGGACAAUGGGCGAAAGCCUGAUCCAGCCAUUCCGCGUGCAGGAUGAAGGCCCUCGGGUUGUAAACUGCCUUUGUACAGAACGAAAAGGUUUCUACUAAUACUAGGAGCUCAUGACGGUACUGUAAGAAUAAGCACCGGCUAACUACGUGCCAGCCGCCGCCGUAA